ACCUAGCUAGCUUAGUGGGAACAGCAUGUGACUCUUGAUCUCAAGGUCGUGAGUUCAAACCCCACGUUGGUUG
rnacentral:tRNA from 1 species